UUAUAAGCAUCAUUAAAUACUGCAGUAGAGACUUCUCAGCUACUUCAAUGAUUUGCCUUGAAGGUACUUAAUAUUUUCAAGUAAAUGCCAGGGUUGGAGUUUUGAAUGUAACUGGAAGAGUCUGCUAAUUUCUUUGUCCCUUGAUUAUCGUGUGCAUGUGAUUACUACCAAAAAAAAAAAAAAAAAAAAAGGUUUAUACUUUCCCCAAAAUUGCUCAGCUCAGGGUUUGUGUCUAAUUGAUCAGUGGUGGUGGUAUACAUCAUGUUUGCCCCUUUCAGGUAAAAGGGAAGCAAAGGAAGAAAGAAGAAAAGACAACCAUGUAGGCUGUUAACUAGGUCACUGGUUUUAUUGUCACAUGCUUUUAAAAGAACAUGCAUGAGUGAGCUGUCUCACUUUCCAAUCCAAGAAUGUUUGAUUCCACUGUGAUGAAAAAUUCUGUGACCUGGCAGGGAAACACCCCAAGAAGGGCAGAAGGGGAAAAUUCUUUCUCUUUUCCAAUAUGGCUUUCUUUGAUUCAAGAAAGGCUUCCUCUCCUCCACAUCUCUGUCCUGCUCAUGGCCCCAGAAGAUCUCACGUUGACUGCAUUUGUCCUAUGCCUUCUUCAAGCUUCACCUCUUCUGGGAGCCUCCUGGGUGGGCUCCUUCUGGCUAAAUCUUCCUCCUCACUGUUGCCUUUUUAUCUUAUGCAAGCACCUGCCUUAUCUAAAGAACCCAGUGAGCUUUCCUUCAGGAGGAAAUCUACCUCUCUUUAUGAUGGCGACUUCACGGAAAAAUUCGAACCCCUUUUAUUCCUGCUUUCUGGUAAUCUUCAACCAUCUAGGUCAUCAUCAUGUUCUUAUGCAUUAACUGUUCUCCCUCAAAACGAAAGAAAACCCUAAACUGAUGCACUGGUUUCUGUCCCAGGGCUUUUCAUUGCUGUCUUCCUAGUGUUUUAGUCCUAGAAGACUGACCUUCAGGGUGGUGGAAGGAGCUAGAUGGGGGACAGGGUUUUGACCUUAGAGCAUGCAGGAUUUAAAGCAGGAGGGCCAAAUUCAGUCAUCGUGCACCAGAUGCACGACUGAGAUGAGGGCUGUGGGAAAUGUAUGUGAAGCUGUUGAAAAUUAGAACAGAAUGGAUACCAGGAGCCAGGUCACAGGCCAGGCAAAGGGUCUGUGACAAUGGCUGCAAGAGGGACUGUGGAUCAGGGUGGACUCUUGGGAGGGUAAGUUCAAGUUCACUUCUACACCAGUGCAGGAACCAUGCCUGUUGUUUUUUUUUUUUUUUUUUUUUUUUUAAAUUAUACUUUAAAGUUACAGAGAUUUUGUGUGCACAGUGUGCAGGGAUUUGUUAUAUGUAUACAUAUGUACUAUAUUUAGUGUGAGCACCCGUAGCUAAAUCAUUUACAUUAGGUAUAUCUCC
rnacentral:lncRNA from 1 species